GCCGAGUCUGGACAAUUCUCACAGUCCCUUGAACUCCUGGAGGGACCCACAGAACCCCAGCCACCGAAAACCACUUCUGCCGCAAAAGAGUGCAGUUCUCACCAACCAUGCCAGGGUGGACCUUGGGUGACAGGAACUUCUGCCGUCUCACCUUCUGAGCCCAUUCUCAGCUAUGAGAACAUUUUAAAGUGUGCUUUUCAAGAAAUAACAGUCCAGCAGGCAGCUGAAGACGUUUCCACCAUAGACCAUUUCCUAGAAAUAAGUAGUGAAGAAAAACCUGGCCUUGAAUGUGUACAUAAAUUGUGUAACGAAUCCAGAAAACUCUGGAGAGCCCUUCAGAGCAUACACACCACGUCUACUUCUCAGUGCCUCUGGAGCGAGUCCCGUUGCCAGGAGAACUUCUUUCUUGUUCUCGGAAUAGAUGCUGCGCAGAAGAACCUUUCUGGAGGCGAGGGCCACAUCAUGGAAGAUUGUGACCUCAAAGAGCCUGAAGGACUCCUCACUGUCAGCAGCUUCUGUCUCCAGCAUUGCAAAGCCCUGAUCCAGACCAAGAGGCCCUGAAGGAACGUGACCAUCACCUGACCUGAGUGACACUGCAAAGCCCUCAUUCUUUCUAGCGGACAUGGAAUUCUCUCCAAGCAGAUGAGAUGCUGAGCCGUCAGCCACAUCAGAGGCCAGGGACAUGGCCUUCAGAGGCUUUGGCCAUCAUGCAAAACACCUGGCCACCCUGAAGCCUCUAUGCUGAAGAAAUGUCUGGAGCGAUCCCACAGAGAUGCUGACAGAUGCCCAAGGACCCAGCUGCUGGAGCCUUCCGGCCAGCAUGCCAGCCCUGGGAGGAAGGAAGCCUUCAGGGUGGGGUGCA
rnacentral:sRNA from 1 species